GCUGCUGUAGCUCAGUGGUUAGAGCGUGGGAUUGCAGUUCGUCUCCAUGCGACUUAUCCUAAGGUCAUUAGUUCGACUCUGAUUAGCAGCU
rfam:Fungal sp. No.11243 DNA, scaffold: sccafold0008.